UGUUUUUGUAUCAGAGUCAAAACAGGAAAUUCAAAACUUUCUGCUAAAGGCUCUGCUGGAAGAGAGAUUAGUAUGAAGAAGCUGUUUCACUAGUAGCUUUGUAGGGUAGUCAAGUUGGGACAAUUUUUAAAUGAGAUUAUUUUGAUGGGAAUCUUAAAUUUCCCAACUGAUACACUCACAGUAUAGCCCUUCAUCCUCAGCUGGCAUUAAAAAAAAUAAAGUAUUUCAAAUUAAGUCCCCUUCUGCACUUCUCAUUUGUUUGAGGAGAGAAGAGAAUUGCAGGUGUCUGGGUUCCAUAUUAAGCUGAGUUACUGUCAGUGAUGCACUUGCUAUACUUGAGUUUUAUUAGCUGUACGUUUGAGACUUGCAGAAAACUAGCUUUGUAAAUGACUUGGUCUGUAGUUGCAGCAGCACUAAGCAUAGCAAAAUCUUCUUAGCUGUGGAGGCUUUUUAAAAAAAGGCUGUCAUGCCCUUUUAAAUUAGUACACUACAUUUGAUUGCAUUAUGGGUCUGUGGCAUAAGCUUAAUGUUUGUUUGCAUGAAGUAAUUUCUAACUAUCUAACGUUUUUUCAUGGUACUUUUCUGAAAUUCGGAUAGUGAUGGACGGUAUAGAUAUAGCUGACAGAUGGCAAGUUUGUUCAUGGUAUUAGACCUCUCUACCAAUGAACUUUGUUGCUUUUGUAUCUCUAACAGUAAAUUACUUGCCAAGUUUCAAGGUGCUCAUAUAUACUAUAGUGAGCCUGUUCCAUUGAGCAGUGUUAUCUAGGUAGUUAAUGUGAGAUUGACAAACAUGGAAUGUAAUCCUGUCACGUGUACUUUUACAGGAGGAGAGGGUAGCACCAUCUAUGGUUAAGAUUGCCCAACAUUUUCCCAUAUAAGACGCUAUUUUCAGUUUCUUAUAAUUUUGCCAAAUUUGAACUGGUCGAACUGAAAUUUUUGAAGCCAGUUGUUAACUUAGUUUGAUUUUUUUUUUUUUUUUGGAAAGUUUUUCAGCAAAAAUGGUUCAGCCAUUUGUCAGAACAAAGUUGGGGGGAAACGGCGCUGUUUUUCCAAUAUUCAAAAAAUUCUUGCGUCCUUUUGCUAAGAAGCACUUGUGCAGCCAGGCUUGGAGCCGGAGUUGAAAUUUGGCAGGAGGGUUUCCUUUAUGUCAGAGAUGUUUCUUUUGCUGUUCCUGUGAGGGGGAAGAAAUGCCAAGUUAUAAGCCUUUAAAAAUUUCGCUGUGCAUAUGUUCAGUAUGGACUUGAGAAUUUACCAGCUAAAUGCUCUGAAGGUUUUGUCUGUACUGAGCAUGCUCUAGCCCAGGGCACGGGGACUGAGUAGGAUUUUCCUUCUAGUUGCAGCUCCCUGCUCCUGUGGCCCCAGACACAGGAACUGAGAGUUGGCAGACUUGUUUCUAUGCCCUCAUUGCUUCUCCUGCUGAGUCCCAGGCAGUGUGGAGGACGAAGCCACCUGGUUCAAAUGCAGGAGCACAGAAUGGGCAGUGCUAAUUGAAUGAUCUGCUAUUCAGUAGCUUAUUUACUACACACACUAAAACUCUCCUCUGAAUACAGAAUUAUUAAUUUCCUAGUGGGCAUUUCUGCCUCGCUCAUCCCUAUAGUAUCUGAAAUCAUAACAUAUGUUUGUUUGUUUUCACAACACCCCUGUGAGAUGAGGGAGUAUAUCCCCAUUUCACAGAUGGGGAGCUGAGGUAUAGAGAGAUCAAGGUCACAAGCACCCACUAAUUUUGGGUGCCUAAUAUGAGAAACCUAGGAUCUGAUUUUUCAGGUGGAAAGUUCUUAAGUGCUUUAUUUGUUCAAAACACAGCUCCCACUGAUUUUAACUGCAUCUGUUAGGUCCACACUACCCUCCUUCUGUCAGUGGUGUGCUGCCUCACCAGGAGCACCUCCACUGACUCAAGAGGGGCAGUGUUGGGUGGCUGAAAGCUAGGGCUGUCAGCUCCACACAGCUCCGCACAGGGAACCUAGCUGCCUCCUGGGCUUCUCACCUCCCCAUUCCCCUAUGGGAGCAGGGAGCUAGGAGCAGCUGGGCUCUAGCAGCCCGCCUUUCUUGUCAGUUUCGAGGCUUCAUGGAGCCCUGAAAUUGAGAAGACAGCAAAGAGCCAAUGUAAGUAACCCAGCAUCUACACAGACACUGCGUCAUCCUAACUACACCAUCAUAAGCCCUACACCUCUUGUGGAAAUGGCGUUAUGUCGGUGUAGUAGGGCAUUUGCUUUGGUGGGGCAAGGCUGUGGUGUGUACAGUGACAUAUUUAGAUGGAUGUAAGCUGUUGUAUAUCGACCUAACGUGUAGUAUAGACCAGGCCUGGGUGUUCUUUUCCUUCUUAAUCCUAUUCUGGUCCUGUACUCUCAAAACUCCUUUUUCCUUGUCUUUAUUCUUUAUCAAGAAAAUCCUUCCUUGAAUUCUCUGUAGGACACUUCUGGUUUAAAAAAUAGAAGUAGAACAAAAUUUAACUUGCCCACAACACUUGAGGUAGUAGUGCUGCUCUAGGUCCCUCCAUUGCAGCACUGGUUGAUAAUUCAGACUGUCCAUGAUCUGAAGGUGGGAAGGGGCAUGGAGACCAGGAUCACAACAGGCUGGCCUGAUAGUCAUAAUUCUGCUGCUCUUACAGUCAGCAAACUACACAUUUUCAAGCUUACUGUGAUGAUGAUAGUAAGCAGCUGCUGCCACAGUAGAGGCAACACUACAACAACACUGUAGGGACCAUGCAUACAGUCACUUUGAACAAAUUAAGCCAGUUCAAGAAAUUCUGUUCUCUUAGGUGAGACCUACAAUUUAGGUUUUGUAAUAUUGGUUACAGAAAAUUGUUCAUAAUAUCUGGUUUUUAAAAAAGAUAUUGAAGACUUAAGCAUCACCAUUGUUUUGAAACAACAUACAGUAGUUAAGAGACUCAGAAAGACAAACUGACCAGCAAGCUAGAUCUUUAAAAAAACAACAAAAAAAAAACCCCAAAAAGCUUGUAUUAUAAUAUUAUAAUGCAGUGGUUUUCAAACUGAGGUCUGUGGACCCUGGGCAUCUGCAGACUAUUUCUAAGGUUUCCAAAGGGGUCUGGACUCUAUUUGAAAUGUAGGGGUCAGCAAAUGGAAAAAAGGUUGAAAACCCACUAUUCUAAUGUAUUGUAACAGAAUGGAGCAUUAUUUUAAAUAUGUAAUUUUUACCUUUGAAACUAUUUUUAUAAUGCAUCUUACCUGCCAUUAUAUUGCAGUGCACCAUAUUAAAGUAAAGAUUUCAUUUUACCCAAUACGUUCUACAUAUUGUGUCCAAUUUGCAGUAAACAUAGUUUUUAGUGGAGAAAUUCUGGGGUGAGGGAGGAGGAAUAAUGAGUUAAGAUUUUGCCAUAUUAGUGGAUGCUAAUGGUGAGAGAUCCAGGAUGAGAUGUCAGAGAGAUGGGUAGAAAUGCAGGAUUUGAUAGAGACUAGUAAGGAGUGCACUGGUAGACUUGUGAAUCAUCAGUGUAGAGAAUGGUAGCUUUAAAAAUUGUGUCGUAUGACAUUGUGCAAAGAAAGAGAAGACCUAAGAUGGGGGCCAGUUCUGUAGUUAUGCAUGGCACUAUAACUUGGUGUAAUGGGAUUAAAAUUAAGACGGAAAAAUUUAGGAUGAUCAGGAGAAACAUCUGGGCAGUGAGAUGAUCUGGCUUCCAAGGGAAGUGGGGGAAGCUCCAUUUCCUGCAAGAUACAAGAAUAGAUCAUGAUGCUAGGGGUACAUCUACACUGCAUUCUUAGCCUGGACUCUACUCAGUUUUGAGCCCAAGCCUCUCUUCAGUGCACACACAUCAGUCUGACUCGUGUCAGCAAGCACUCAGGAUCCAGUCUUAGGACCCUUGCUAGGGGGGAUGGGUCAGAGCCCAAAUCCUGCUGUGACUCAGGUCCAAAUCCUGUCAUUUUGCAGUCUGGACGCAGUUCAAGCUGCAGACCUGAGUCAGAAGGACCUUGUAUAGACUUGUUAGCAGGGCUGAGACACCCAGGUCCGGCAAUUGUAAGCCCAAGUUUACAGUGCAAUGUGCACACUCAACUGAGGACUUGGAAACUGCAUGUUACCAAGCCUGGAUCCCACAGACAUGGGCUUAGUGUGCAGUACAGACAUACCCUAGAAAAGGUGGAGUUGAAAACCAUCCUACACUGCUGAUAAGGUGGGCUAGGCUGUGUAUAUUUUAGUACAAUCUGUAAGGAGUUAAAGGAGCACCAAUUGCAUUGCCUUUGUGUUGUGUGCCUGAAUUUCUGAGUCGUAUUUCUGCUUUGUACUUUCACUGAUUUCAGAAGACUAAAUCUUUUUAGUCACGUAGUUAAAGCAAUCUGUUCUUCAACAUUCUUCGCUGAGAAUUCAGUUUUGGAAAUGAAAUACAAACUUACAAGAAUCAGGCCCUGGUCAUGGACUGUACAAACUACAGUCAGGUUGGAUGUUUUGAGUGCUUACAUAUCAUAAAUAUGAACCAACUCUGUAUGGUUAAUGGCUGUCCCUCCUCACCAUAAGGACAGGAAAAUACCGAUAGUAAUCUUAAGUAGCAGAACAUUUUUACUGUCUUCCCUC